GAGGAUAUAGUUUAGCAGUAGAGCACGUGCUUAGGAAGCACAAGGUCCUGGGUUCAAUCCCCAGUAUCUCCA
rnacentral:tRNA from 1 species